UACGUAGGGAGCAAGCGUUGUCCGGAAUCAUUGGGCGUAAAGCGCGCGUAGGUGGCCAUGUAAGUCCGCUGUGAAAGUCAAAGGCUCAACCUUUGAAAGCCGGUGGAUACUGCAUGGCUAGAGUACGGAAGAGGCGAGUGGAAUUCCUGGUGUAGCGGUGGAAUGCGCAGAUAUCAGGAGGAACACCAAUAGCGAAGGCAGCUCGCUGGGACGUUACUGACACUGAGGCGACGAAAGCGUGGGGAGCGAACAGG
rnacentral:rRNA from 1 species